rnacentral:rRNA from 1 species
AACGCGAAGAACCUUACCAGCUUUUGACAUGUCCUGGACGGAUUGCAGAGAUGCGAUCUUCCCUUCGGGGCCGGGAACACAGGUGCUGCAUGGCUGUCGUCAGCUCGUGUCGUGAGAUGUUGGGUUAAGUCCCGCAACGAGCGCAACCCUCGCCCUUAGUUGCCAUCAUUCAGUUGGGCACUCCAGGGGGACUGCCGGUGAUAAGCCGGAGGAAGGUGGGGAUGACGUCAAGUCCUCAUGGCCCUUACAGGCUGGGCUACACACGUGCUACAAUGGCGGUGACAGCGGGAGGCGAAGGGGCGACCCUGAGCAAAUCUCGAAAAGCCGUCUCAGUUCGGAUUGCACUCUGCAACUCGAGUGCAUGAAGUUGGAAUCGCUAGUAAUCGCGGAUCAGCACGCCGCGGUGAAUACGUUCCCGGGCCUUGUA